rnacentral:lncRNA from 1 species
GGCGCGGAGCCGCGCGGAGUGACAAAGCCGCCGCUGCCGCCGCCGGGGGUGGGAGCCGCGCUCGCCCGCCCGCCCCUCGACUCGCGAGGGCGUAAAAGUUUGUCUCAGCUCGAGCAUUCCUAGCGCCAACACGCCCUCAGGUAAAGGUGGAAGUAAAUGGCCACGCUGUAUUGACAGAGGUAGGGUUUGUUUUUUAAUACUCGUUCUCACUUUAAGUCUCACCAGGGAGGGGUUUGGGAAGCACUGCGUGUUUGGGGGACGUUUUGCGCUUCCUGGUCUCUCCAGCCUACAAGUCGGGAGUCGGCGACCGCUUAGUGACGAGCGAUGAUUUUAAAGAGCAGAAUAAAAGGUUUUCCCGUGCCUGCCCCACAGCCCCUCCAGCUCGAAUAAUGGAGAACUGUCAAUGCACUCCGCGAGCGGUGGCCCAUUGUACGCAGCUGAUGGCGAGGAGGCGACUGGGGGUAGCAGGGGCUCCUUGCCCUCGUCCCUAUGCCCAAAUAAACGCGCAAACGCGCUCCCGUCUUCUGGUCAGUUAAAAGGUGAAACGAACACGAUUAAAAUAGACCAAAAGAAAAGAAAGAAAAGAAAACCUUUCUAUGUACAGAUUCUAAAUCGUACUCCCCAUACAGUCAGAGGCAGGGAGUCGAGGGCAGAGGCAGCAGGCGGAGAGAGGGAGAUAGGGCGAGGGAAGGAGAACGCGGAGAGAGACGAAGGGAGUGGGAGACCAGCGACAGCGAGCGCCAGGGCACCGCAGGCACACUGGAUGCCCAGUCCGCCGGCCCAGCCGCCCUCGGACCCUGGACCGUGCGUCGUGGGCACCAGAAACGAGACUCGGCCAAAUCCUGCCUCACCAGCAGGUAGAUGAAACUCAAGAGAAAAGGUGUGGAUAAAUGAAACUAGCCCAUGAUGAACCUGUUUUCUCCGUGACCACAAUAUUAACCAGGAUGAAUGGCGAUACACUGCCUCUAGGACUGGGACAGAUAGCCACUGAGUACCUGCUUCAAAUCACCCUGCACGUUUUCUCUUUGGAAAGAUAAGCACUGGAGAACCAUCUCGUUACCUUCAGCAGAAAUGGAAACAAAUCAAGACAUUAAGAAUGCCGCAGUGGACAGCAGUUAUGCAAGGUUCAGCAGAGGAAGUUUUCAAGAUGGUGUGCCUCACUAGCCAGAAAUCAGAAAAGAUCGAAGCUAGCCUUUUCAUCUCAGCUGCUCCUUAAAUCAGUGCAACCCCUCCAAAUUAAUGUGAAUUGAAACUUGCAUUGCUUUUCAACUUAAUUGAAUACUUACUAUAUGUGAACCACUGCACAAAAUAGGGGAAGAAGAUGUGGGAGACAAAGAUGUGGAGCCUGUCUUCAAUAAAUUUACAGUUAGUUUCAGGGUACAUUGUUUUUCUUCUGCUGUUAAUUAGGUGUAUCCCCAAGACAAUAAAUACAUGAAUGGAAAAGUAUAUUCUGUGUUUUAAGUCUCUUUAAUAAAAAACAAAACAAAAUCCAAAAAAACUCCUAACAUGGCAACUCAGGACAUUUUAAUCCUUUUUUUUGUUGUUGGGCUUCUGAUAGGAUCCAUUUUAUUGAUUCCAUAAAUAUUUAGUAGACUUUAGACAUAUUAAUACAUUGUAGUUUGAGUUAAUUUGCAUUAAAUUCUGUUUUUUUCCCCUUAGGUAUAGAUUGUCUGUUGGAAAAAUAUAUUGCUUGUGGAUUUCUUGGGGAGUGGGAAGGUGAAUUAUACCUGUUGUCUCUACAGUCCACUACCUUCCACACCCUAGGGCAGUGGUCCCCAACCUUCUUGGCACCAGGGAUCAGUUUCCUGGAAGACAAUUUUUCUGUGGAUGGUGUGGGGAUGGUUUUGGGAUGGAACUGUUCCACCUCAGAUCAUCAGGCAUUAGUUAGGCUCUCAUAACGAGUGCGCAGCCUAGAUCCCUCACAUGCACAGUUCACAGUAGGGUUUGCGCUGCUAUGAGAAUCUAAGGCUGCCACUGAUCUGACAGGAGGCAGAACUCAGGUGGCAAUGCUUACUGGCCCACUGCUCACCUCUUGCUGUGCGGCCUGGUUCCUAAUAGGCCAUGGACCCCCACAGACGGGUACUAGUCUGCAGCCUGUGGACCCCAGCCCUAGGGGCCUGCCAUUCUGAGUGAGUUAUUAGCAUGAAGAAGAGGAAGAUCUGGAUCAAACGUGGGUGAUGGUACUCAGAGACCCAAGAUAGGAUAGGGAUGGAACAAAAUCCAUCUGGGCAACGGCUCUAUGAAAAUUUGGCUAAGUAAUUAUUUCAGUAUUCAUUGUAUUCAUUGUCCUUCGUGUUCCAUAAGUUAAAUGACUGUCUAAUUUUUCCAAAAAUUUAUUUCUGACUUGAGAAUAAGUGUGUCAUGAUUUUCCCAGUGUAAAGACACUGAUAUAACUGUAGAUACCAGACAUUUUAUGUAGUGUCUAUGACACAUUUUAGUAUGUAUGAGCCAACAAUAGACAUGUCUUUGUCUUGAGGAGUGUCCAUCUGAAUUGAAAAUGUGUCAGCUUUUUUUUAACAUCAUCAACAGACUUCUUAAUUAAGCUGCCAAUACAUACUGCCAAUAGCACUGUGUGCUGUCUGAGAAAUGCAUUGUGUAAGUGCUAUUUCCAUCUUAUUAAAUAAACAAUGUUGCUCUGUAUAAACUGGAUUUAAAGUGUUCUUUGAAUGAGGCAUUAUAUUGCUCCAUAAAUAAUGUGAUGUGAAUUCUCAUAUGAUCCCUUUUAACUUAAUUUCUAAAAAAAUAUUAUUUGCUCCUCAGUAAGGAAUAGCUCUAAUUGGACUGGUAACUUUAGUGAUAUGAUUUGUCUGUAACAGGCUGAAUCGCCCCACUCCCAAACUCCUGGUCGUGAUACUGGAUAUUUGUUAUGCCACUUUUAGUUUGCAUGAGGUAUCUUCCAGGAAGUAUUAGUUAUUAACUUGUGUUCUACUAAACUGUAGAUAUUUAUUUCCUGUUCUGGAAGAUUUCUUGGAGUGUCCAUCUGUGCAUUCCUGGUGCCUAGUGUAGUCUUGCUAAUGGAAUAGCACCUUUAUUGGUGCUACUUAGGGGUUGGUAGCUUACAAUCAAUCUACUUGGAACGUAUCCAAAUAAACUGGAUAUUUUUAUACA